UACGGGGGGGGCAAGCGUUGCUCGGAAUUACUGGGCGUAAAGCGCACGUAGGCGGCUUCUUAAGUCGGUGGUGAAAUCCUGGAGCUCAACUCCAGAACUGCCUUUGAUACUGGCGAUCUCGAGUCCGGGAGAGGUGAGUGGAACUGCGAGUGUAGAGGUGAAAUUCGUAGAUAUUCGCAAGAACACCAGUGGCGAAGGCGGCUCACUGGCCCGGUACUGACGCUGAGGUGCGAAAGCGUGGGGAGCAAACAGG
rnacentral:rRNA from 1 species